CCUUAAGUGGGGGUGGGACCUGGGACUUGCUUCUAGCCCACAGGAUGUGGCAGAGGUGAUGCCAGAGUCAAACCUUUCAUCUGGUGCUCUGUGAUCCUGCUUCUCACAAGGUCCCAGCUGCUGAAUAAUCAUUACCAAUUAGGAU
rnacentral:lncRNA from 1 species